rnacentral:lncRNA from 1 species
UUUUUUUUCUGUUGCAGUCAUCAGCUGUGCACAAGGUUUAACAAACACUUAGUUGAGACUUGAAACCGUAGGAUCUCUUUCGUGUUGAUCAAAUGAUCAUGCAAGGUCUGUUGCUAACCUGAGCUUUUUGCGCAUAAAUGGCGUUGGAAAAGAAAUAACCAACCCCUAACACAUAUAAUCGACUCCACUAUCGUUAUAAAACCCCUUACGUAUUAUAC